UACGUAGGGUGCGAGCGUUGUCCGGAAUUAUUGGGCGUAAAGGGCUCGUAGGCGGUUUGUCGCGUCGGGAGUGAAAACCCAGGGCUUAACCCUGGGCUGGCUUCCGAUACGGGCAGACUAGAGGUAUGCAGGGGAGAACGGAAUUCCUGGUGUAGCGGUGAAAUGCGCAGAUAUCAGGAGGAACACCGAUGGCGAAGGCAGGUCUCUGGGCAUUAACUGACGCUGAGGAGCGAAAGCAUGGGGAGCGAACAGG
rnacentral:rRNA from 1 species